ACUGAACGCUGGCGGCAGGCUUAACACAUGCAAGUCGAACGAGUGGCGGACGGGUGAGUAAUGCUUGGGAAUCUAGCUUAUGGAGGGGGAUAACUACGGGAAACUGUAGCUAAUACCGCGUACCAUAGGUUGAACCCAUAGGGGAUUAGCUAGUAGGUGGGGUAAAGGCUCACCUAGGCGACUCUCUCUAGCUGGUCUGAGAGGAGUAUCAGCCACACUGGGACUGAGAAACGGCACAGACUCCUACGGGAGGCAGCAGUGGGGAAUAUUGCACAAGGGGCGCAAGCCUGAUGCAGCCAUGCCGCGUGUAUGAAGAAGGCCUUAGGGUUGUAAAGUACUUUCAGCGGGGAGGCGUUACCCGCAGAAGAAGCACCGGCUAACUCCGUGCCAGCAGCCGCGGUAAUAC
rnacentral:rRNA from 1 species